GACGAACCUUGCUAACGUUAUUCGGAAUUACUGGGCUUAAAGGGUGCGUAGGCGGCGCGGUAAGUCGGGUGUGAAAUCUCGGGGCUUAACUCCGAAACUGCAUUCGAUACUGCUGUGCUUGAGGACUGGAGAGGAGACUGGAAUUUACGGUGUAGCGGUGAAAUGCGUAGAUAUCGUAAGGAAGACCAGUGGCGAAGGCGGGUCUCUGGACAGUUCCUGACGCUGAGGCACGAAGGCCAGGGGAGCAAACGGG
rnacentral:rRNA from 1 species